rnacentral:rRNA from 1 species
UACGGGGGGGGGCAAGCGUUGUUCGGAAUUACUGGGCGUAAAGGGCUCGUAGGCGGCCAACUAAGUCCGACGUGAAAUCCCUAGGCUUAACCUAGGAACUGCGUCGGAUACUGGAUGGCUUGAAUCCGGGAGAGGGAUGCGGAAUUCCAGGUGUAGCGGUGAAAUGCGUAGAUAUCUGGAGGAACACCGGUGGCGAAGGCGGCAUCCUGGACCGGUAUUGACGCUGAUGAGCGAAAAGCGUGGGGAGCAAACAGG